rfam:Pseudomonas entomophila str. L48 chromosome,complete sequence.
AGCAUUAUUAUUACCGCCAUUAUCGGUUUGGCGGGCUAGCGCGUACGUGCACCGAACCCGCCCUGGAGGCGGGUUUU